UACGUAGGGAGCAAGCGUUGUUCGGAUUUACUGGGCGUAAAGGCGCGUAGGCGGCGCGGUAAGUCACUUGUGAAAUCUCUGAGCUUAACUCAGAACGGCCAAGUGAUACUGCAGUGCUAGAGUGCAGAAAGGGCAAUCGGAAUUCUUGGUGUAGCGGUGAAAUGCGUAGAUAUCAAGAGGAACACCUGAGGCGAAGGCGGUGCUAGGCUGACACUGACGCUGGAGUGCGCGAAGCCAGGGAGCAAACGGG
rnacentral:rRNA from 1 species